rnacentral:rRNA from 1 species
UACGAGGGGGGGCGAGCGUUGUUCGGAAUUAUUGGGCGUAAAGGGUGCGUAGGCGGUUUGGUAAGUCUGAUGUGAAAUCUAUGGGCUCAACUCAUAGUCUGCAUCGGAAACUGCCGGGCUUGAGUGUGGGAGAGGUGAGUGGAAUUCCUGGUGUAGCGGUGAAAUGCGUAGAUAUCAGGAGGAACACCUGCGGCGAAAGCGGCUCACUGGACCAUAACUGACGCUGAUGCACGAAAGCUAGGGGAGCAAACAGG